rnacentral:sRNA from 1 species
AAGACAAGCAUGAGAUCGACCGCAUGACGCUGACGAUGGCCGUGGAGCUGCCCGACUCCUUCUCCCCUGAAUUACGCUCCCUGCUGGAGGGGUUGCUGCAGAGGGAUGUCAACCGGAGACUGGGCUGCCUGGGCCGAGGGGCUCAGGAGGUGAAAGAGAGCCCCUUUUUCCGCUCCUUGGACUGGCAGAUGGUCUUCUUGCAGAAGGUAACAGUCUGCGGCAGGGACUCGGGGUACUCUGCAGCCCCACCCCCGAGCUAAUGCCCAUGAUCCUUGUUCUGCUGCAGUACCCUCCCCCGCUGAUCCCCCCACGAGGGGAGGUGAACGCAGCCGACGCCUUCGACAUUGGCUCCUUCGAUGAGGAGGACACAAAAGGAAUCAAGGUACUGGGCUUUGCCUGGCCUCUUUUACCUGGGCUGUGAUCCUGGCCUGGGGGAGGAUCCCUCUCCCUUCUAAUCACCUGUGAGACCCUGUGCCAGCCCUGCCAGCUUGUAGGCCUCAGCUCCUCCUCGGCCAGCUUCCCUGGGGGUGGCAGUUGCACUGACCAUCCCUACCCACGGCCCUGGGUCUGGGCAGCCUGUGGCUUAUGGUAUUCUGGCAUCUC